rnacentral:rRNA from 1 species
GACGAACGCUGGCGGCGCGCCUAACACAUGCAAGUCGAACGAGCGAGAGAGGGCUUGCUUUCUUGAGCGAGUGGCGAACGGGUGAGUAACGCGUGAGGAACCUGCCUCAAAGAGGGGGACAACAGUUGGAAACGACUGCUAAUACCGCAUAAGCCCACGGUGCCGCAUGGCACAGAGGGAAAAGGAGCAAUCCGCUUUGAGAUGGCCUCGCGUCCGAUUAGCUAGUUGGUGAGGUAACGGCCCACCAAGGCGACGAUCGGUAGCCGGACUGAGAGGUUGAACGGCCACAUUGGGACUGAGACACGGCCCAGACUCCUACGGGAAGCAGCAGUGGGGAAUAUUGCACAAUGGGGGAAACCCUGAUGCAGCGACGCCGCGUGGAGGAAGAAGGUCUUCGGAUUGUAAACUCCUGUUGUUGGGGAAGAUAAUGACGGUACCCAACAAGGAAGUGACGGCUAACUACGUG